GACGAACGCUGGCGGCGUGCUUAACACAUGCAAGUCGAACGGAAAGGCCCUGCUUUUGUGGGGUGCUCGAGUGGCGAACGGGUGAGUAACACGUGAGUAACCUGCCCUUGACUUUGGGAUAACUUCAGGAAACUGGGGCUAAUACCGGAUAGGAGCUCCUGCUGCAUGGUGGGGGUUGGAAAGUUUCGGCGGUUGGGGAUGGACUCGCGGCUUAUCAGCUUGUUGGUGGGGUAGUGGCUUACCAAGGCUUUGACGGGUAGCCGGCCUGAGAGGGUGGACGGCGACAUUGGUACUGAGAGACGGCGCAGACUCGUACGGGAGGCAGCGGUGGGGAAUAUUGCACAAUGGGCGGAAGCCUGAUGCAGCAGCGCCGCGUGCGGGAUGACGGCCUUCGGGUUGUAAACCGCUGUCGCCUGUGACGAAGCGUGAGUGACGGUAAUGGGUAAAGAAGCACCGGCUAACUACGUG
rnacentral:rRNA from 1 species